rnacentral:rRNA from 1 species
UACAGAGGCCCCGAGCGUUUGUUCGGAUUUAUUGGGCGUAAAGGGUGCGUAGGCGGCGGAGUAAGUUGGGUGUGAAAUCCCCGGGCUCAACCUGGGAAUUGCAGUCGAGACUGCUCGGCUAGAGUGUGGGAGAGGGUGGUGGAAUUCCCGGUGUAGCGGUGAAAUGCGUAGAUAUCGGGAGGAACAUCAGUGGCGAAGGCGACCACCUGGCCCAACACUGACGCUGAGGUGCGAAAGCGUGGGUAGCAAACAGG